AGUUUUGAGCUAAAUAUAUUAUAAUAUUAGUUAUUUAUAAAGGUGUUGUAAAACCUUAUUAAAAAUUAUAUUUAGGGGUGAUAGGCCUUUCAAAAACUAAGAUAUCUUGAAUCUAAUUAAAGGUAUGUAGUACAUUCGACACAACUAUUAAGUGAUUAGGCUUUAUAGAAUUAUUAACUUAUAAAGAUUUUAUUUACUAUAAUUUAAUAAUUAAGUAUGUAAAUAUAUUAAUAUAUAUAUAUUAUAAUUUAUAAAAAGUAAUUAGAUAAAUUAAAGUUCAUAAAUUUUGUAAUAAUGUUAAUAUUAGUAUUAAGUUUAUAUUUAUAUGAUGAACUCGGCAAAAAUGCUUCUCAACUGUUUAUCAAAAACAUAACUAUGUGAAUUAAUACAUAGCGGUUUCUGCUCAA
rnacentral:rRNA from 1 species